AAGAUUUAAUAUGAACUACAGUUAAGAUUGGCCACUGUAACCAUCUUAAUAUCCAAAUUAAAAAGUUAAAUGUAUACUGAGCAUGUUCCCAUAGUCAAACUAUGGGUGUUACAUACCAGAGAAUACUGGUUUACUAACAACUUUAAGACUGCCCUGUGGUUUUUUGGCUUUUGAGAGUGAGGUUUAUUGGUUGUGACAUAGGAUUAAAUCUGAGCAUAUAUGAUUACAAUUGUCCAUAUGGCAAAUCUUGGCUUUCAAAAUUCAAAGUGAAAGACAAAGCAGAAACUGCUCCUUUGCAAAGCAAAGUGAAAAAAUAAAAAAAUAAAGUAUCAUAUCUCAUUUGUACAUUUUGUUCCCUUUUGAAAGAGACUGAAAGAGUAGGUCACACUGUUCUAUUAAAGCAUAUUUCCUCUUACACUUAGGCAAAGAUAUGAUUUAAGAAUGUGCUCAUCAUGAUAGUCAUGGCUUUUAUGCUGUGAGCUAUUGAAAUAUGAAUGCACUACUAAUUCCUUGCAGCUACUAGACUGUAAAUCAAACAUGCCACUUAGUAAAUGACCCUUAGUCUUUAUUUCUGUUCCUUACCAAAGAUUACUAGCUGUGGGAACUGCAAGAGAACAGAGACACUGAGGAAAAUGCUUUAACUGAUCAUUCCCAUAAGGCAAUCUGUACCAUUUGAAACUCUGUCUCUGUAAUAAAACAUACAAGUUGUUGAAGGAUGAAAAUUUUAGGUAAACAAUUUGUUUGUCAUUUAUAUUUUUGUUCCUUCCAUAGGGUGCUAGGUAAUGGGUUUUUCCUCUACUGAAUUCUUCAGUCCUGUUCAUGAUAAACGACAGAAGAGUGGGGGUUGAGAAUAGAAGGAAGAAAAGAAAGAGAAAGAAAGAAAGAAAGAAAAAGAAAGAAAGAAAGAAAGAAAGAAAGAAAGAAAGAAAGAAAAGAAAAGGAAAGAAAGAAAGAAAGAAAGAAAGAAAGAAAGAAAGAAAGAAAGAAAGAAAGAAAGAAAGAAAGAGAGAGAGAGAGCAGGGGGCAAAAAAGAAGGAAAAGAAAGAAGAGAAGAAGAAGGAGAGAAAUGGGGAUAGAGAAAGGAAGAAAAAGGAGACAACAAAUAAAAAAGAGCCCAGAUAAUCAGACAAAUGUAAACAGCCAGGCAGUGAAAGAGGAGAGGCUGGAGCUGCCCAGGUUCUGCUUGAAGUGUGGAUUGUUUUCUAAUGCCAGAUUGAAGAGAAAAUCAGAGAUUUACUCAAAGAACUUUGACUACAUUACUGUGAAGUCUUUUCACUCUGUUCAGUAAUGUGAAUAACCACAAAGUCUGUAGGUACACAAAGCUUGUCCUAUUGUAUUUCUUCCUAUUUCUUCUACCAACAUCAGAUAUUAGGUGAAGUAAAGAAUUCAGAAUUCAUAAAAAUAAAAUUUCUAUUGGUUAAUCAUU
rnacentral:lncRNA from 1 species